rnacentral:lncRNA from 1 species
GUGAAAGAGUAUUCUCUUAAUUUUACUCAAUUAGCUAGAUAUGCUCCUCAUGUAGUGGCAAAUAGCAGGGCUAAGAGCAGUAAGUUUGAUUUUGGGGUUAAUAAUAGUGUGGUAAGUAAGUGCAGAUCUGCAAUGUUGAUUAGUGAUAUGGACAAAGCCAGGCUUAUGAUAGAAUAGAAGAAGAUUAAGAUGAGGGAGAAGUAUAAUAAGAGAGCAAGGAUAGCUAGUUUCAACUUUGCUCAGCCUAAGUCAGAGGGUGGUAAUCGUUCUCAGUUCCACUCAAAGUCAUCCAUUCCAGCUCCUUCCCCG